CUUGCACCUAGAGGAGCAGGUGUGGCUGCUGUGUCACAUGUGCGUCAGUAGGUGGCAGAGAGGAGAGAGGCUAUGUCUAUGCUGUCUAUGCCGUAUUCUGACCUACGAAUAUCUGAAUGAUUAGUAGCCUAACAAU